rnacentral:misc_RNA from 1 species
UGCAUCGAACUGCUUCCCUCACUUUCGAUCAGUUGUUGCUCCACGAGCUAAACGCUGGAUGCAAGACGUGGGUUCCUGUGUUGCAUACCUAUUGCGACGGAAAUGUGUGCCUUCGGUCAUCCCUUCCAUCACGACGUCCUMUCGGAUGCUCGGUUGGACCGGAUAGUGGGGCUCGUGUUCCACGAACAUCGUCUCGUACGAUCGUUCGGAUGGACCGCGAGUUUCUACUCGUUCUCUCGGAUGCGGAACUCUCACAAUGGGUGUGGGGUCAUYGGCCCUUGUUCCCUAAUCGUUAAGCGUUUAUCGCUUCACCGGAAUGACGAUCUCGCCUUGUCCUUGAUCACGCGAAGCCCUCGGGCAUCGCGAUGGAUCAUGCUCGGCGGACGUCGUGAAGGAAUGC